rnacentral:piRNA from 1 species
UGAUGCAUACGACGUGUCUGCUGGUGUC